UGGCUCAGGAUGAACGCUGGCGGUAUGCUUAACACAUGCAAGUCGAACGGGGGCUUAGGCCCCUAGUGGCGGACGGGUGAGUAACGCGUGAGAAUCUGCCUUCAGGUCGGGGACAACAGCUGGAAACGGCUGCUAAUACCGGAUGUGCCGAGAGGUGAAAGCUUUAGCGCCUGAAGAUGAGCUCGCGUCUGAUUAGCUAGUUGGUGGGGUAAGAGCCUACCAAGGCGACGAUCAGUAGCUGGUCUGAGAGGACGAUCAGCCACACUGGGACUGAGACACGGCCCAGACUCCUACGGGAGGCAGCAGUGGGGAAUUUUCCGCAAUGGGCGAAAGCCUGACGGAGCAAUACCGCGUGAGGGAGGAAGGGCUC
rnacentral:rRNA from 1 species